AAUGAACGCUGGCGGCGCGCCUAAUACAUGCAAGUCGAGCGAGAAGACGUAGCAAUACGUUUGUAAAGCGGCGAACGGGUGAGGAAUACAUGGGUAACCUACCCUCGAGUGGGGAAUAACUAGCCGAAAGGUUAGCUAAUACCGCGUACGCUUCUUGGACUUCGGUUCAGGGAGGAAAGCGAUACCGUGGGUAUCGCGCUCUUGGAUGGGCUCAUGUCCUAUCAGCUUGUUGGGAGGUAACGGCUCACCAAGGCUUCGACGGGUAGCUGGUCUGAGAGGACGAUCAGCCACACUGGCACUGCGACACGGGCCAGACUCCUACGGGAGGCAGCAGUAAGGAAUAUUGCGCAAUGGGCGAAAAGCCUGACGCAGCGACGCCGCGUGGGGGAUGAAGGUC
rnacentral:rRNA from 1 species